CAAUUUUUAACUUUUUGAAGAAUUUCCAUACUGUUUUCCAUAAUGGCUGUACCAUUUUAUAUUCUCAGUAGUCUCCACAUCCACAGUCUUGCUGAAACUUGCUACUCUUGUAUUUUUGACAAUAGCCAUCCUGAGAGAAUAGAGAGCCCAGACAUAAACCUAUGCAUAUACCAUCAACUGAUGUUUUCAAGCAUACCAAGAAUAUGCAAUGAGAAGAAAGUUUAUUCAAUAAAUGUUGGGAAAUCUGGAUAUCCACAUGCAAAGGAAUGAAAUUUGACCCUUAUCUUAUACCUCUCAUGAAAAUUAACUUGAAAUGGAUCAAAGACUUAAAGCCUGCUUUACCCCAAAUUCUAGCCCCAAGGGGAGAAACAAAAAUUGACAGUACAGGAGAUUCCCAAGAGAUGAAGCUUGCUGAAGGGACAGACAGUAGACCACACAAAAGGAGGACUGUUGAGCUGCUUGAAGGGGCUUACUCGGUCUGUUUACAAGAAGAGCACGCAUCCUGAUUGUAAUAAGUGAGCUUGGAGGGCUAGACAGGCUCUUUAAUCUCAGAAAUGACACUGUGAACUCCAGUUCACCUGCUCGAUUUAUUUACAUUGCUUUUGCCCGCUAACAAAUCCAACUCUCCAUCAGAUUAAUCAACAUUUAUCAGCCAGCGGCGGGAGCAUCAUUUCAUAACGUAAGUAAAAUAGAGAGGGAGUGAAAUGGAAUAGAGAGAGAAUAAAACUCCCAUUACUCUGUGGCUAUUUUAUUCUCUAUGUAUUUUAUUCACAUAAUGAAUGAUGUACUUCUGGCUUUAACAGCAUAGCAACCCAGGGUUCUGUUUGUUUAAUGUUUUCCCGCCAGGGACUGUGCAAUUCAAUAGCAUAUGCACAGCAGGAUAAAGGAGGAAGAUGGUCAAGUCUGAGUUUUGAGGUUUAAGACUGCUCAAAUAUACCAAAGGUGGGUUAACACCAAGUUGUCCAGAGUCUUGUGUUAGUUCAAAUGAAUUGCCACCAAUCAACAAAAUAAUUUGUCCAUGUGGUGUUUCAUUGGCCUUUAUUGCAAAUGAACCAUUCAUUUAUUCAGCCAUUUAAAUAAUCCAGCACCAACCGUGUACCAGAAAUUGUUCUGGGUGCUAAUGAUGUAGCAGUGAAUAGAACAAAGUUCCUGUGCCCAUGGAGUUUAUACUUAAGGGGGAUUAUAAACGAUAACAAAUAAAUAUAUAAUAAAAUUUCAUGUAGUAAUACAUUUUACCAUGACAAAUAAACCAGGCUAUGGGACCAGAAACAAAGAGUGUUACUUCGGAUAGGGUAGCCUAAAAGGCUGUGCAGAGGUGAUAUUGCAGCAGAAAUCUGAAGGAAGUCAAAGAACUAGGCAUUUGAGUAUCUGAGUGAACUGCAUCCAGAUAGAAGGGAAAAGAAGGAACAUGGAGAAACUGGGAGG